rnacentral:lncRNA from 1 species
GAAGAAAUUGAAAUGUCAACAACGGUAAUUUUGUUAGCUUUCCAGACAUGUAAAUAAUAUUAAAAAAUGAGCUACAUGGUGAGAGAUAUGACAAAAAUACCAGUAGUAGUUCCAUACAAUAAUUAAUUUGGACAGACCUUCACUAAAAUAAUAAUUAAUCUCUCUGUGUAACUCCAAGUUUAGUGGAGUUUGAUUCUGUGGAAAAUUAACUCGGUUGCGGUCAUUUCGGU